UGGGGAAUCUUGCACAAUGGGGGAAACCCUGAUGCAGCGACGCCGCGUGAGCGAUGAAGCCCUUCGGGGUGUAAAGCUCUUUCGGCAGGAACGAUAAUGACGGUACCUGAAGAAGAAGCUGCGGCUAACUACGUGCCAGCAGCCGCGGUAAUACGUAGGCAGCAAGCGUUGUUCGGAGUUACUGGGCGUAAAGAGUGUGUAGGCGGUUUCGUAAGUUUGGUGUGAAAUCUCCCGGCUUAACUGGGAGGGUGCGCCGAAUACUGCGAGGCUCGAGUGCCGGAGAGGUAAGCGGAAUUCCUGGUGUAGCGGUGAAAUGCGUAGAUAUCAGGAGGAACACCGGUGGUGUAGACGGCUUACUGGACGGCCACUGACGCUGAGACACGAAAGCGUGGGUAGCAAACA
rnacentral:rRNA from 1 species